rnacentral:rRNA from 2 species
GGGUUGUGAGGUUAAGCGACUAAGCGUACACGGUGGAUGCCCUGGCAGUCAGAGGCGAUGAAGGACGUGCUAAUCUGCGAAAAGCGCCGGCGAGGUGAUAUGAACCUUUGACCCGGCGAUGUCCGAAUGGGGAAACCCAGUGUGAUUCGUCACACUAUCGUUAACUGAAUACAUAGGUUAACGAGGCGAACCGGGGGAACUGAAACAUCUAAGUACCCCGAGGAAAAGAAAUCAACCGAGAUUCCCCCAGUAGCGGCGAGCGAACGGGGAGCAGCCCAGAGUCUGAAUCAGCUUGUGUGUUAGUGGAAGCGUCUGGAAAGUCGCACGGUACAGGGUGACAGUCCCGUACACGAAAGCACACUUGCUGUGAACUCGAAGAGUAGGGCGGGACACGUGGUAUCCUGUCUGAAUAUGGGGGGACCAUCCUCCAAGGCUAAAUACUCCUGACUGACCGAUAGUGAACCAGUACCGUGAGGGAAAGGCGAAAAGAACCCCGGCGAGGGGAGUGAAAAAGAACCUGAAACCGUGUACGUACAAGCAGUGGGAGCACCUUCGUGGUGUGACUGCGUACCUUUUGUAUAAUGGGUCAGCGACUUAUAUUCUGUAGCAAGGUUAACCGUAUAGGGGAGCCGAAGGGAAACCGAGUCUUAACUGGGCGUUAAGUUGCAGGGUAUAGACCCGAAACCCGGUGAUCUAGCCAUGGGCAGGUUGAAGGUUGGGUAACACUAACUGGAGGACCGAACCGACUAAUGUUGAAAAAUUAGCGGAUGACUUGUGGCUGGGGGUGAAAGGCCAAUCAAACCGGGAGAUAGCUGGUUCUCCCCGAAAGCUAUUUAGGUAGCGCCUCGUGAACUCAUCUUCGGGGGUAGAGCACUGUUUCGGCUAGGGGGCCAUCCCGGCUUACCAACCCGAUGCAAACUACGAAUACCGAAGAAUGUUAUCACGGGAGACACACGGCGGGUGCUAACGUCCGUCGUGAAGAGGGAAACAACCCAGACCGCCAGCUAAGGUCCCAAAGUCAUGGUUAAGUGGGAAACGAUGUGGGAAGGCACAGACAGCCAGGAUGUUGGCUUAGAAGCAGCCAUCAUUUAAAGAAAGCGUAAUAGCUCACUGGUCGAGUCGGCCUGCGCGGAAGAUGUAACGGGGCUAAACCAUGCACCGAAGCUGCGGCAGCGACACUAUGUGUUGUUGGGUAGGGGAGCGUUCUGUAAGCCGUUGAAGGUGUGCUGUGAGGCAUGCUGGAGGUAUCAGAAGUGCGAAUGCUGACAUAAGUAACGAUAAAGCGGGUGAAAAGCCCGCUCGCCGGAAGACCAAGGGUUCCUGUCCAACGUUAAUCGGGGCAGGGUGAGUCGACCCCUAAGGCGAGGCCGAAAGGCGUAGUCGAUGGGAAACAGGUUAAUAUUCCUGUACUUGGUGUUACUGCGAAGGGGGGACGGAGAAGGCUAUGUUAGCCGGGCGACGGUUGUCCCGGUUUAAGCAUGUAGGCGGAGGUUCCAGGUAAAUCCGGUACCUUUUAACGCUGAGGUGUGAUGACGAGGCACUACGGUGCUGAAGUAACAAAUGCCCUGCUUCCAGGAAAAGCCUCUAAGCAUCAGGUAACAUCAAAUCGUACCCCAAACCGACACAGGUGGUCAGGUAGAGAAUACCAAGGCGCUUGAGAGAACUCGGGUGAAGGAACUAGGCAAAAUGGUGCCGUAACUUCGGGAGAAGGCACGCUGAUAUGUAGGUGAAGCCCCUGCGGGUGGAGCUGAAAUCAGUCGAAGAUACCAGCUGGCUGCAACUGUUUAUUAAAAACACAGCACUGUGCAAACACGAAAGUGGACGUAUACGGUGUGACGCCUGCCCGGUGCCGGAAGGUUAAUUGAUGGGGUUAGCGGCAACGCGAAGCUCUUGAUCGAAGCCCCGGUAAACGGCGGCCGUAACUAUAACGGUCCUAAGGUAGCGAAAUUCCUUGUCGGGUAAGUUCCGACCUGCACGAAUGGCGUAAUGAUGGCCAGGCUGUCUCCACCCGAGACUCAGUGAAAUUGAACUCGCUGUGAAGAUGCAGUGUACCCGCGGCAAGACGGAAAGACCCCGUGAACCUUUACUAUAGCUUGACACUGAACACUGGUCCUUGAUGUGUAGGAUAGGUGGGAGGCUUUGAAGUGUGGACGCCAGUCUGCAUGGAGCCGUCCUUGAAAUACCACCCUUUAAUGGCUGGUGUUCUAACGUAGACCCGUGAUCCGGGUUGCGGACAGUGUCUGGUGGGUAGUUUGACUGGGGCGGUCUCCUCCCAAAGAGUAACGGAGGAGCACGAAGGUUAGCUAAUCCUGGUCGGACAUCAGGAGGUUAGUGCAAUGGCAUAAGCUAGCUUGACUGCGAGAGUGACGGCUCGAGCAGGUGCGAAAGCAGGUCAUAGUGAUCCGGUGGUUCUGAAUGGAAGGGCCAUCGCUCAACGGAUAAAAGGUACUCCGGGGAUAACAGGCUGAUACCGCCCAAGAGUUCAUAUCGACGGCGGUGUUUGGCACCUCGAUGUCGGCUCAUCACAUCCUGGGGCUGAAGUAGGUCCCAAGGGUAUGGCUGUUCGCCAUUUAAAGUGGUACGCGAGCUGGGUUUAGAACGUCGUGAGACAGUUCGGUCCCUAUCUGCCGUGGGCGCUGGAGAAUUGAGGGGGGCUGCUCCUAGUACGAGAGGACCGGAGUGGACGCAUCACUGGUGUUCGGGUUGUCAUGCCAAUGGCACUGCCCGGUAGCUAAAUGCGGAAAAGAUAAGUGCUGAAAGCAUCUAAGCACGAAACUUGCCCCGAGAUGAGUUCUCCCUGAGACUAUAAGUCUCCUGAAGGAACGUUGAAGACGACGACGUUGAUAGGUCGGGUGUGUAAGCGCAGCGAUGCGUUGAGCUAACCGAUACUAAUGAACCGUGAGGCUUAACCUUACAACGCCGAAGGUGUUU